UACGUAGGUGGCAAGCGUUAUCCGGAUUUAUUGGGCGUAAAGGGAACGCAGGCGGUCUUUUAAGUCUGAUGUGAAAGCCUUCGGCUUAACCGGAGUAGUGCAUUGGAAACUGGGAGACUUGAGUGCAGAAGAGGAGAGUGGAACUCCUUGUGUAGCGGUGAAAUGCGUAGAUAUAUGGAAGAACACCAGUGGCGAAAGCGGCUCUCUGGUCUGUAACUGACGCUGAGGUUCGAAAGCGUGGGGAGCAAACAGG
rnacentral:rRNA from 1 species